CAGUCGCCACGGUAACACGUAGGGUGCAAGCGUUAAUCGGAAUUACUGGGCGUAAAGCGUGCGCAGGCGGUUUGUUAAGACAGAUGUGAAAUCCCCGGGCUCAACCUGGGAACUGCAUUUGUGACUGGCAAGCUAGAGUCUGGCAGAGGGGGGUGGAAUUCCGCGUGUAGCAGUGAAAUGCGUAGAUAUGCGGAGGAACACCGAUGGCGAAGGCAGCCCCCUGGGCCAACACUGACGCUCAUGCACGAAAGCGUGGGGAGCAAACAGGAUUAGAUACCCGUGUAGUCCCUGUCUCUUAUAC
rnacentral:rRNA from 1 species